GCUGAGAGAGGAGCUUGCUUUUCUUGGAUGAGUUGCGAACGGGUGAGUAACGCGUAGGUAACCUGCCUUGUAGCGGGGGAUAACUAUUGGAAACGAUAGCUAAUACCGCAUAACAAUGGAUGACUCAUGUCAUUUAUUUGAAAGGGGCAAAUGCUCCACUACAAGAUGGACCUGCGUUGUAUUAGCUAGUAGGUGAGGUAACGGCUCACCUAGGCGACGAUACAUAGCCGACCUGAGAGGGUGAUCGGCCACACUGGGACUGAGACACGGCCCAGACUCCUACGGGAGGCAGCAGUAGGGAAUCUUCGGCAAUGGGGGCAACCCUGACCGAGCAACGCCGCGUGAGUGAAGAAGGUUUUCGGAUCGUAAAGCUCUGUUGUAAGUCAAGAACGAGUGUGAGAGUGGAAAGUUCACACUGUGACGGUAGCUUACCAGAAAGGGACGGCUAACUACGUGCCAGCAGCCGCGGUAAUACGUAGGUCCCGAGCGUUGUCCGGAUUUAUUGGGCGUAAAGCGAGCGCAGGCGGUUUGAUAAGUCUGAAGUUAAAGGCUGUGGCUCAACCAUAGUUCGCUUUGGAAACUGUCAAACUUGAGUGCAGAAGGGGAGAGUGGAAUUCCAUGUGUAGCGGUGAAAUGCGUAGAUAUAUGGAGAACACCGGUGGCGAAAGCGGCUCUCUGGUCUGUAACUGACGCUGAGGCUCGAAAGCGUGGGGAGCGAACAGGAUUAGAUACCCUGGUAGUCCACGCCGUAAACGAUGAGUGCUAGGUGUUGGAUCCUUUCCGGGAUUCAGUGCCGCAGCUAACGCAUUAAGCACUCCGCCUGGGGAGUACGACCGCAAGGUUGAAACUCAAAGGAAUUGACGGGGGCCCGCACAAGCGGUGGAGCAUGUGGUUUAAUUCGAAGCAACGCGAAGAACCUUACCAGGUCUUGACAUCCCGAUGCUAUUUCUAGAGAUAGAAAGUUACUUCGGUACAUCGGUGACAGGUGGUGCAUGGUUGUCGUCAGCUCGUGUCGUGAGAUGUU
rnacentral:rRNA from 1 species